rnacentral:lncRNA from 1 species
UGGCAUCUACAAGCUCCAUAACGACGCCGAACGUCUCGAACAAAUCGCAGAGGCACGAAGCUAGGGCUUUUGAGGUUCCGAUUUGGGAAACAAAUAGAAUCUUGCCAGUUGAAUUGCUUUUAGGUUGUUCAUGAUGGAGUCUUAUGAGGUUCUUUUCGUGGGAGUAGAGGCGCAUGAGGCGAGACUUGCAGAUUAAUAACAAGGUUGUGGCAGUGGCCGAGACGACGGUCACGGUGGACAAGAGCGCAGAAGUAUCUGCUUCUAACGACGACAACAACGAAAGUAUUGCCAUAUUUCUUUUCUGCUUCAGAGGGUUUCCACUUUCCACCCCCCCCUCCUCUUUUUUUCCCCAGUUGCUGAAGAGAGUCGGUGUGUGUUCGUUGAUGGCAAAACAGAGGCGGUGGAAUGAGAGAAAAGAAUAAGUAUGACACCAGACCCCCUCCUCUUCAUUAUAACAUUUUUAGAUAAUGAAAAUAAAAGUGAAUGAAAGCAAAAUGAAAAGAAAGAUUAUUAAAAGUUAUAAUGAAUAAUUGAAAAAAAAUAGAACAAGUAUAAAAUGCCACAUUUAGUAAUGUUGUGAUAGUAUCUAAACAGAAUAAUUUUGAUUAUUUUAAUUUAAAUAUAGUUGUAAAUGAAGUUAAGAAAAAUGUUAUAGUAAAUUACAAUUUGAUAUUAAAAAUAAAGUUGAAUACAAAUAUGAAAAUAAUAAGUAAUUAAAUAUAAAUAUAAUUGAUGAUAUUUUGAUGUAGAAGUAGUAGUAAUUUUGCCAGAAAUUUAGGUUUUAAUUAAAUAUAAGUAUAAUUGUAUUUUAGUUUUAUGUAUGUAUAUAUAAUAUGGUGUAUUUAAGGGGUUUUAAUUAAAUAUAAGUAUAAUUGUAUUUUAGUUUUAUGUAUGUAUAUAUAAUGUGGUGUAUUUAAGUGAAUUUGUAUAUAAAAAGAGAGGAAUUAUUUAUUUAAUUUUGUAUUUCUUUAGUGUGCAGUCUUGCUAAAACUAUAGGAGAACAAAUUUGUUUAAAUAAAUUUCAUAAUGUUGGAAUCAAAUUAAGAAAAAAUCAAAUAGAAGAUGCGUAAUUAGUUAGAACGUUUUUUUAGGAGUUCAUGAUUUUUUUUUUAAAGUUGGAUUUUGUGGCUAGUUAGAAAUUUAUUUCCAUUGUAGUUAUUUCUAUUAUUUUAGUAAUUUAAUUAGAUUUGUGGAUAUUGUGCUUAUUUUUUCAUGUGGACUAGAAAAGACAAAAUGUCUAAUAACUAAUAAGAGACAAGUUGGAGGUAUGUCCGUGCAUUAUAUAAACCUAAUUUGUAAAGAACAUUUCUUUUUCUCCUAAAAGAACGGGCAUGUCGAACAAGUUAUUGAGAAUAGAGAAAAAGGGAUACCACCCGAACAAAGUUUUUUAUUCAUCCAUAUAGAACGAUCUACCAACAAAAAUAAUAAAGCACAUGUAAUAAUGACCCGCUAUUAUUUUUUAUUAUGGGAUUUAUAAUUAAAAUUAAUCUACAACAUUAAACUACUUUUAUUUUUAAUAAUAAUAAUAAUUUAUAGCAAUACAUAAAGAAAAUAGAAAAAUUUGGUCUCCAAUUUUCGCUUCCUCAUCUUAACCCUAUUAGUAAAGAGCAACUGAAAUAUCUUUUUAUUUUGAAAAAAAAAGCCAAAAAAAUAAAUUAUUAAUUAACUUUUUUUAUUCCGGUUACUUUUUUAUUCCACGUAUAACUUCCAAUCACUUCGUCUUCUUUAUUAUCCCAUUUUUUUAGGUAUUUGUCUAUUUUUUAUUAAUUUUUUUAUCUCUUUGUAUCUUUUUUUAUUUAUUAAAUUAAUUAUAUAUUACUUUUAUUUUUGAGAAUUAAAAAAUAAACCAAAAUGAUAAAUUCAAAGGUUUUCUAUUUUUUUUUAUAUAGUGUUUUACUUUAAGUAAUUAUUUUUUAUGGAUAAUAUUUAAAUGACAAAUAAAAUAGUAAAAAGAUUUAUAGGGUGAGAUUGAAAACCAGAACAUACAUCUACACUUUGAACUAUGUCCGGCCUAGAAGAUGUUAGAUACAUUAAUGAUCCAAUCAUAUCUUUAUACUGGAUUUCAUCAACAUAUUUUCCAUUUUUACCCUUGUCAAGUUUUGUAUUUGAAUGUAUAGGUGUACUCAUUGGUUUGGAGUUUUCUAAACUAAAUUUCUUUAUUAACUCUUUGGCAUAUUUACCUUGGUGAACAAAGAUGCCACUAGGAGUUUGCUUGACUUGAAAUCUAAGAAAAAAUGUUAGUUCUCCCAUCAAACUCAUUUCAAACUCGUUAUUAGUCAUUAGAUUUCCAAACUCUUUGCACAAUGAUUCAUUAGCUGAUCCAAACACAAUAUCAUCCAUAUACACUUGGACAAGGAAGAAAUCAUCAUUAGAUUAUUUGAUAAAUAAAGUAGUAUCGAUAGUACCCCUUAAAAAAUCAUUUCGCAGCAAGAAGGCACUAAACCUUUUAUACGCUCUUGGAGCUUGCCUAAGGCCAUAAGAAGACUUUGAUAGUUUAAAAACAUAAUUAAAAAAAUCUUUGUUUUUAAAAUCUGAGAGUUGAGCUACAAAUACUUCUCUAACAAUAGUUUAUAAAAUAAUAAUUUUUUAAUAUCUUAUUUAAUUUAAAUUUAUAAAUUUUAUACAUUCUAAAAAUUAAAUAAUUUAAAAAAUAUUUUUACCUUUAAAUUUUUUGUUCUUAAUAUUUAAAUUAUUCUAUUAAAUUUAUAAUUUUAAUUCUAAGACGAAAGAAUUCCAUAGCCAAUACCACGAGAUAGAUAAAAUGGAUCCGAGUAUUGCUCCAACAAUCACCUGCUUCACUGUAUGAAGCUUUUGCGACACCCGUAGAUAUGACUGCUUACAUAGCAUACAAAAUGGCCGUAAGCAAUUUAUUUACGCUUACAUCAGCAUAUUGUAAACUUCAAAUAGUGAUAAUAUUUUUUUAAACUCACUUACAAUUAAUUUUAUGUGGAGUUGAUAGUUGAGAGUCGUUAAAUAAUUUGACAGAUUUUAUUAAAUUGUCAUUUAAAUGAUUCUCAACUAUCAAUUUCACAUAAAAUUAACUGCACCUAAAUUUUUAUAUUUAACGAGAUAUAUAGAGAGAUAUCAGAAAUAAAAUUAAUUAUAUUUAAUGAUGACAAAAAUUGGUUGGAUUAUGAAUUAAUAAUCCAAAUUAAAUUGUUAGUUUAGUUCGAUGUGAGUUUUACUUUUAGUAUUGGGCAUAUCCAAAAUCAACAAGUGAACAUCCCAAAAUAAAGUCGAGCUAGAAUAAUCUCACAAGGCCAAAGCAUAAGACAUAGUGCUGAAAUUAGAAAGAAAAAAAAGCUGCAAAUUUGGGGGCCAAACUUCAAAAUAAGGAAAAAUGACAACAUUAAUUUGUACUAAUGAUUGGAUAAUAAUGAAGGAUAAAGGGCAGCAUCAUGAUAUGCAGUAAGCACAGCCUACAAAUAUUUAGAUUUGGAGGUGCAGAAAUUAUCAUUUAUAUUGUUUGCAUUUUUUAAAAAUUGAAGACAAGAAAAGGGAGCAUUCCUUAUAUAUAUGAAUAAUUAAACUUAAAUCUUGUGUUAUUAUUUUGUUUUUGUUAUUCAAAAGAACUAUUAUUGAUAAUAUUUUAGGAGUAAAUAAGUUUAAACAAAUAAAAAAUAAAUUUUUUUUAUUUUUUUUUGUAAAAACAGUCAAAUAGAAUCUUAAAAUAGUUUUUUUUGUAAUUAUGCGGAUAUACCCAAUAUCCGAUCCGAUCCGAUCCGCAUAUUUUGGUCAUUAUUAUGAUUAUUUCCUUCUCUGAAUUCACGCUCUCUUAUUUUCUGAAUUGGUUCACAAUUUUUGUUUCUUCGCAAACAAGGAAUGAAGCCUCCACCAGGCAAGACAGAUCUUGAGGCAGAGGAACUAGCACGAAACGACAUAGUUUUCAAGUAUCUCAGUUUUGCCAAUUUCAUCCCCAGAAAUUCAGAAGAUGAGCUGAAGCAAAUGGAGGUUGUUGCUACUGUCAUUGUAAUGUUAUAUAUACUACUAUAUCUAUAUACCAAAAAUUGUUAUCAAAUUUUGAUAGUUUAGAAGUUUUUAACUAAGUCUUUCACUAUAUUAUACCAUUUUAUCUUUUUCUUUAUUUAUUAAAAACAAUAAUCAAACACUUAUUUUAGAAGAUAAAUUUUUAUUCCUUUUUUCUCAAGAUGGUUUAGUAUAGGGAUUUCAUCACAAUUUUUAAACUAUUAAAACUUAAUUAUUGAAUAGCCUUUGUAGAGAUUUAACUAGAAAUACUUGAGUAAAAUAAUUUUUUAUUAUAUAAAAACAUAAUUAUAUAUUUUUAAAAUGCAAGAAUCUAAUUAAAUAUUGAGUAAAUUUAUAAGAGGUCUAAAAUUGUUAAACAAACCAAGGUUAUUAAAGUACAGAACAUGCUAUUUGUAGCAUAAGACAAAGUAACCUCUUCCACAUUUCUACGACUUUCCAUCCAAAAGUCCAAAACUAGUGGAAAGGGAAUAUUUCCUCUGGAAACUGAUAGAGAUCCUUCUGCAGGUGGUUGGCUAACAAGUAUAAACAAGGUUAUUAAUUGAAUAUAUACUUUUGAUAUAACAAGUUUAUUGUAUAUUUCAUUACUCCAUAUAUAUAUAAUAAACAUUAGCCAAUAAUCGGUCCAGACUAAUUCAGUUCAAGAUAAAAUUCAUUUAAUGGUGAAUCAAUUAAAAUAAAAAAAAAUUAUUAGAUAAUCGAUUAAUCAAUCAAAUCGAUACGAAUUUUAACGAUUAAUUGAUUUAAAAUAAUAAAUUAUAAAAAGUCAACUUUAAAAAAAUUAUAUAUAUUAUUGUUAUAUCUGGUUCAAUUUUAAUGAAAUUUCGAUUAAAUUUUUAAAUUAUUAAAUUUUUAAUUCUACUGUUGACCGGAAUCGUGUAAGGUACUUAGGUUUAAUUAUUUUCAUUAAAAAGAUAUCAGAAACAUAGCUGGUCAUUAUGUCUUCCCUUUUGUCUCAUUCCCUGUUGACUAUAAGUAGUUAUUUCUUUUAAGAAUAAGACAAGACAACCUUUGAAUUAUUCGACUAUAACCAGCAUAGUGGCAAUCAUGUGAUAAUUGGAUCUUUAUAUAUCUUUGUGUGUGGUCGUCGGUGCGAUCCAUUAGAAAGAGUGGCAUGCUCGUUUUUGAAUAUUCUUUAAUUAUAAUAUACAAUAUACAAGAAAUUUCAAUAAACCCUUACUUCCAUUUACCAAUGAAAAGACAUUACAAGAUAAAAUAUUUCAUGGAUGAUUUCUACUAGAAGAAUCAAGGGAUUGAUCUAUGAAUUCCGUUCACUAUUGCCAAGUUGGAGUUGCCUUUAGAAAGAUUGAGGUUGAGAGACAAAAAUAAAAAGAUAUAAAUUGUGUUAGGUUAAAUUAAAUUUUUAUAUUAUAUUUAGUGUAAAGUAUAUAAUAUUAAAAAUAACUUAUCAAAAACUAACUUGUUGAGUGAUCUAAUAACAUAGUAAGUAAAAAAAAAAAUCAGUUAUUAACAUCAAAUUAUAACAAUUAAUUAAUGUCAUUAAAAUUGGACAAACUCAUUAUUUAAAUUUGUAUUAUUACAGGAGACUUUUCUAAAAUCAAUAAAAAAAUUUUGUAACAUUAGAAAAAUACUAUCACCGAAUUAUAAUCAUCGACCACAAUUAUAUUGUAUAGAAUUUUAUCAUAAUUGUGAUUUUUUUAUUUUUUAAAAUUUAUCUACAGAAAUGAGAGUUAUGGAACGAGAACAAGAAGCAUUUUCCUGAUCAGGAACGGAUGCCGGAAAAAGAUCUCCACCCCUAUAAAUAUCCAUUGUCAUCCCUAGUAACAAGUAGGAGUAGCAGUGAACCGAGUAGAGGCAGGUUUUUCCCCUACUUAACCCGCCCUUCCUUAACACGUAUAAAACCCCACCCCAAUAACUAUUCGAAUCUAGCAAACAAGAUUAAUUUUUAAAAUUUAUACAACUAUGACCACGUCUGAACAUAAACUAAAAACACAAGAAACCGCUACUACAUAAUUGACUUUUACUAAUAUUUAAAAAAUAUUACUAAAUUAUAUUAAAAUAUUACCUAUGUAUAUUAGUAAUAUUUUAACAAAUGUUAUAUAUACUCUAUUUUACUAAAAAAUUUUACUAACAUUCUUCUAAAGAUUUAAAUAGAUCUAAUAACAUUUAGUAAAAAUGUUACAAUAGACCAUUCAUAAUAACACUUAGAAAAAUAUUACAAUAGAUAUUUUUUAUAACACUUAAAAAAAUAUUACCAUAGAUAAUUUUUGUAACAUUUAGAAAAAUAUUACCAUAAAUAUUUUCUGUAACACUUAGCAAAAUGUUACAAUAGAUAUUUUUUUGUAAUAUUUAAAAAAUAUUACGAUAAAUAUUUUAUAUAACACUUAAAAAAUAUCACAAUAAGUCUUUCUAAUAACACUUUAAAAAAAUAUUACAAUAGAUAUUCUAUAACAAUACUCUAAUAAAUGUCACAAAAAAAUUUCUUUGCUAACAAAAAAUAUUACAAUAGAUCUUUAGUAAUAUUUAAAUGCACAAAAUAUCAAAUUAAAAUUUUUUCCUUCAAUUACAUAUUCUACGCCUACUUUACAAAUUAAAGUCAAGAUAUUUAGACAUUAAAAUUGAUCUAAUAAAUCAAUUUUCCUAUUUCUUCAAUAUGCUUACAUGAAUAAAUCCAAAAUAUACUAGAGGAUCCAAAAUGAUGCUUUACUCAUGAAAUAAACUAAUAUAAAACAGCACACAAAAAGCAAAAUAUUUUAAUGCUAUUGUGGAUGAUUCGAUUAAAAGACUCGAAUUAAAGCAAAAGACACCAAUCUUAAUAGCAAAAUUACACCUGACUUAUCAUGUUCUUUAUCUCGUCCAUGUGAUCAGAAACACGAGGCUCUUGAGAAGGUUUCUCACACUGAAGAUCAGUCAUAUCAACAUUAUAUUCAUGGCAAAAACGGUUGCUUACGUCCAACGGAUUGUCACCAAUCUCAUUUGCUCUCUUAAUUAUCUGCAGCAAUUCUGAUAUUAGCAGUCACAAAUAGUCAUUAAAGAAUAACAUAAGAGACUCAUUUAAAAUAAUAUUGCUUCAAGGUCUAUAUUUUGUAGGACAAAUGGACUGGUGAAAUUUCUAAAUGAUAGAUAUAUGUAUGUCUCAAUGGCACAUAGCUAACUUUUUAAAAUCACAUAAAACAAAUUAUAAUUGACAGAAACAGAAGCAUGCAGUUAUAUUUUGGAUUACAGCGAAAACUUCUCAAUAUUAAUACUAACGAAGGGUGAAAGGGGUUACCUUGUCAUCAACUUCAGUGAAAUUCCGCACAUAUGUUACCUCAUAGCCCAAAUGCACAAGGUACCUGCAGGUUUUCAUGCCAAGUAUGCUACCUCUGUAUCUAAUGCAAGUAAUUAAAGGAAGGCAAGAAUAGAAAGAGUAGUUAAAAUACUCUAAAUCUUAUAUCUGAAUUUAAUCUUAAUAACAAUAGCAGGACUACACCACCAUCAAGGACAGAAGCAAAAUACUGACUUUAUGCUUUACUUAAGACAAUAAUACGAUAAAUUAAUAACCUGAAAUCCAUAGAAGACCCGUGUUGUCACCUUCAACCAGGCCACUGCUAACUACUAACUAGUUCCAUCAAAUAAAACAAAUAGCAUUUUUUAUUAUGAUACUCUCAAAUUGAUAAUGUCAUUUUUAUUUAGAAAAUACCUUUUUUUUAAAAUAAAAAUCACAUUUAUAACAAAAACUUUAUCAAAUUUAAGUUAUAUUAUUAAAAGUGGAAUGAUAAUAUCUUCUCACGAUACCAGCAAGAAUGAAGAUAAAUGAUCCAGUUGAAAGUAGCAUUCGUCCUUCAAGAUGGGAAUAGCUAAUGCAAGCAGAAAGUAUUAUCAAGGAAGGGAGCAAAGAAGAGGGGGAUGACAGAUGGAGCAGCAUGGGGCACAUGAUCUGGGCUAUAUGGAAGACGAAAAAUGCAGCAAUAUUUCACAAUCUAAAACCAGAUCCUCUAAGCACUAUAUAAUCCAAGCUAGAGUACAAGAAACAGAAUACAAGAAAGCCAGGGAUACCACAGAGCAAAUAGAAUCAAAGCCAGUAGAGGAACCAUACCAGUAAAGUGGAGGCCACUGCCCAAAGAAUAACUCAAGAUCAACACAGAUGCAGCGUUCUCAGAGCACAGCAAAACGGGUGAUGGUUGCAGUAAUCAGGGAUGACAGUGGUUCAGUAAAAGGUGGAACUGCAAGAAAAAUCAGGGCAAGCUCAGCUCUCAUGGCAGAAGCAAUGGCAGUGAGAGAAGCAGUAAUUAUGGCAAAAAAUCUAGAUAUGGGAAAAGUGCUCAUUGAAACAGACUGCUUACUGCUAAUUGAGGCUGUUAAGGCUAGAGGAGAGCUGUGGGAAAUUGACCCCAUACUGCAAGACAUUAGAGCUAUAGCUGCAGAUUCCCCACUAAGGAGAGAAACAAAUAAAACAAAACGUCCUUGUUAGUUGCUACUGUGUGUGUGUGUUGUCUAUCUAGUAUUUUAUCUCAAGAUACAUAUAAUAAAGUGUAAACAACAUUAAAAAGUUAGUUCUACCACAUUUUUUUUUUAAAAUAUAACGGUUUACUGUAAACUAGUCUCAACCAUUUCAAAAGCAAAUUAAGAUAGAAUAAAAAAGGGGCAAGAUCAAGAGAGAAUAAAGAGCAAAAAUGCAAGAGGAUAUAGCUAGAGGCUCUUAUCCUUGUAAUAAAUAAGAGCUUCCAGUUUCAGUUCCUCCUCAUUUUUCUUUAAUUAUUUUGAAUUUACACAAUUAGCAGACUCUCAAUUAGAAAACCAUAAUACCCUUGUUUUGAACCAAAUGAAUUAUAACAACCACUUAAUUUGAUAAAUAAAAUAAAAUGAGCACCACUUAAUACUAUUUAAAAUUAAGAAAUUAUCCAAAGAAUAUACAUAUGCUCUAAGCCUAGUAGUGUAGCAUCUCCCAACAGCAGUUGCUUUGUUUUUUGCAAUUUGCACCUAAUCAAUGAAGGCUUCUUUUGCUUUCACGAUUUGCUAUGGCUGUAUGCUGCUGCGGCACAAGAAAACAAUGAAAAAGAAAGGGUAUCAAAGGACGUGAUUGUGCAUCAUAUGCUGACAUGUAUUGCCAUUUAACUAAUUUAAGAGUCCUAGUGAUAACAAUGAUUAUCUGGAAUCACCAGAAUUGAUUUAUUUUCCUAGUAUCCUAUUUUUAAGAAGUUGAUUUACAAUUCAACUCUGAAUCUAAUAUUUUUAUGCAGAGAAGAAAAAAGAAGGAAUGACAAGAGAUGUUAGUGAUCAAAGCACACCUCAAUAUCUUAGUUCAAGCAGUCCAAGUCCUACUUUAACAUCUUCAAUCAUAGGAUAAUUCAAAUGCCAAAACAUAUAUAAUACUAAUAAUGAAUGAAAAUAGAACUAGAUAUGUGAAAAUACAUGAAUUCGGUAUGAAAAAAGAACCAAAUACAUAAAAGUAAUCGAAAAGACAAAAUGUGCUAACACUUCAUAAUAUCCUCAUAAGUCUCAAUGAAAACAAUACAUAUAUGAUAUGAUUCAGACCUUAUAUCAAACAUGUAUUGUGCAGCUACAUCUAACCAACCUAUGCUGCACCAAAUCGAAAUGUAUAGAGCAAAACAUAGCAAAUAACAUUUAAUUAAUUAAAAUAGGACUGUGAGAUAAGAAUGCUAAACAUUAUAUACAUAUUAAACUCUUGCUUAACCUUGAAAUUGAGUUAACAAUGACAAGAAGGAAACUUACGUUCGACAUACCCCAGCAAUCAAAUUGAUUUAUUUUAAGUUCUAAAUUUUGACAUAGCUGAAAGAGAACAUGUUUCUAACUUCAAGAAAAGUGUCUUUGGUUUAUCCAAAUCAAUGAGCAAAUAUUUAUAAAAUUCAUAAUAAGAAUUUAGCUCACACAUUUUAUUAUUACCAUUGGCAUAUGAGAAGGAGACAGAGCAAGAUUGAGAGAUUCAGAGCACUGAGAGUGAAAGUGAGAGUGAGAACACGCGAUGCUUACGGAGAUCUUCCGGCGUGGAGAAUUGGUGGCGACCAGAGGGCUUGCUCUUGAAUUUCCCCUUUUCAUCACAAUUCCGAUUUAAUCACUCACGCACACUACGAUCAGAUUAGAAUAAUGCAACUCUUCUUCUGCACGUAAUUUUUUGGAACAAAAUUAAAAAGAAAUCGGAACAAGCAUGAAACGAAAAUGAAAUAAUCAGAAUUGAGAAUAAUCAAACCCUAGAAUUAGAUUGAGAUUGAAAAAGGUUUCAAGGAGAACAAUCACGAUCCAGAGAAAGAGGGAGAGGAAGAGAUUGUGAUGGAGAAUGGUUUUUUGAUUCUUGAUUUCAAAGGAAACAAUCAUUGUGAGCACCGAUUGAAAGCACUGAGCAAGAAAACAUGCAAUGGUUCGUGAGAGGUUUUUGGAAGAGUAUGAAUCCUAUUGUGUUUAGGAAUAGGAAUAGGUAACAGUUCUUUAAACUUUUUAAGAAAAUUAACUAUAUUUACUAACAUUUUAUUGUAAAUGUUAUCAAAAAUAUAUUUUAUCUACAAUGCUAACAUUUUAACAAAUGUUAAGAGACAAAUGUUACUAAAUAUAUAAAAUGUAGUAGUGAACGUACAAUGUCAAACAACAUAAAAAAGAGGGGAGAAAAAAAACCAAUGUCUAGUCACUAAACAAAUUUAACACAAUUAAUCUUGGUCGCUUUCUAACGCAUCAUCAUUAAUAGUUUGGAGGUCAAGAUUGAAACCCGAAAAUCAAGAGUACAAUAGCAAUUAACAAAUUAAUUUGCAUUCCUUCCUUCUUCAGGAGUAUGAGUGCCACCAACAAGAAGCACCCUCAAACAUAAUGGAAUAUUGGAACCAAGUGCAAAAAUAUACAAAUCAGUAAAACCAUUAAGCAAAGAUGAGCAGACCUAUCAUUAAAUUUAAGCACAUUUUCAAUAAAAUUGGAUAGCAUUAAUUUUGUUGAAUAUACAUUUAUUUGUUGCUAGAUUCUGACAAUUUUAUGGUGAGUAUAUUCAUUAGUUAAAAUUUUAAAAAAUAAUGACCAUUCAAGGUGUAAUUUUUCUUUCAGGAUUUGGGAGUUUUCAAUUUUAGGAUACUGUGCAAAUAUUCUUCUUUAAUUUCAACGUCUUAAACAAAGAAUUUCUUACAAUUAUUGGUCUUCAUCUCCAACAGCAAACCUGUCCAGUGUCCACAGAGAUAAAGAAGUAAAUAUCAAAGCUCAAUGAACACGGUCAAGAAGUUUAAAGAGAGAAAGAGGGGCAUACUCACAUAUAAAGAUUUACAUAAUCACCAAGGUUAAGAUUACCCUUGGAUUCAAUCUUGGCAGAAAAAGUUUUGAGUUGGAGCUUGACUCUGGCAUAAGAAACAACCCCAGAACCAGAGUUAGUAGAUGGCUCUCCCUCGAAAACAUUUCCAGGUUCCAUGAACAUAUAAAUCAAACUUUCAUCGCUAGUGUUGUGGCAACAAAAAAUAUACGUUACUUCUGCGGUCUUGUCCAAACCAUGCACCCCCACAGUUGCCACAACAUUCAUUUUAGAUAAAUCAUAAAUAUGCCACAUUGGAGCGAAGUCAACAAUCAGAAGAUAAUGACUGCAUCCCAAACGAACAAGUUUCCUUGGACAAGAUUCAGGAACUGGCGGAAAAUUCCAAUCAAGGUAUUCCCAAUUGUUAGCCUUGACGUCAUAUGACAUGAGCCCUUGAUGUUUAUCACCACAAGAAUACAAUACAAUGUGGGUCUUCUUGUGAGGCUUGGUGCUGUCCUCCCACAGAAAGUAAGAGUCAGGGUUCAUGCAAUAUGACAAGAGAGCACUUUCGGGCACUUCCCUUGUUUCCCAUAGACCUGAUUUUAGGCUGUAAAUAUCAACCCAGCAAUUUGCACUUCCAGUACCCCCAAAGAUGUACAAUUUGCCAUCAUAGGGGACUACUAAGGGUCUAUAUCGGCGGCAGAACAUGCUUCCACAAAACUUCCAACUCCAAUUAGAACCCUCAUACUUGAGGCACCACAUCCUUGAGGGGUAAUGAUCAUCCCAAUUCAAACACAAUUCUGGGUCAAUAAUAUUCAGGUAACCACCACCACCAGCAAAGAAGAAGCUGUGACCGACAGAACAAACUCCUUGCAUAUAUGGUAAUGGACAAUCGACCAAUAGACCAUCUCUAAGAGGCCAUUUGGCAGUUACAUGACCUCCAUCUUCAAGAUCAACAGUGCCAUUCUUAAUAAAGUUGGCCUCAGUUAUAGUUAACAUCCUGCGCGUGAUGGCUGAUUUCCCAACAUGAUCUCUUUCAAGAUUUAUAUUUUCCACAAACAGGUAUAAGCGCUGCGUCAUGGAUAGCUUUGGAUCAGAAGAACCAACAUCCUGGAAUUAGGGAAACAAUCAUAUUAUCUACGACAGAAUCAAAUCACCAUAAGUUUACAGCAAUUAACUAUUAAAUAGAAAGCUUUGCAGUGUGUUGAUGAUAAAUUGAAACGUCAUACUUAUCCAGUUAAGUUUAUAAGGAUAAGAGGACCUCAGGAUCAUAUUCCCCGCACAUGGCAUCAGCAGCACCUCCCGAAACAGCACCUUGCAAAACCCCAACAACACUUCCCCACCAGCGGUCAAAAUCCGCGUUCAAUUCAACAGUGUCCCCUAAAUCCCUAAUAUGAUUGGCAGCCUUAGCCAUCAAAUUCGUGUCAUCUCCAGAAGCCCCUUUGCCGGCGACAAACGCACUGAAACCGUAAGCAUUCACAACUAACGAUCCAAACUUAUAGCCCUUCGCGUAAUUGACGAUCCGACCGGCGAACAUCUGUGCUCCGAGAGAACGGUUGUCAGUGGAGAUGAAAUCUUGUCCGAGAAAUUGGUUCCAAACUUCCGAAGUUGAAGCAACGAGGACGACAAGGUUCUCCUUGGGUAGGGCUUCGGGCACGUAAUCCCUGGCAUCUACGAGCUCCGUAACGACGCCGAACGACUCGAACAAAUCGCAGAGGCACGAAGCUAGGGCUUUUGAGGUUCCGAUUCGGGAAACAAAUAGAAUCUUGCCAGUUGGAUUGCUUUUAGGUUUUUCAUGAUGGAGUCUUAUGAGGUUCCUUUUGUGGGAGUAGAGGCGCAUGAGGCGAGGCUUGCAGAUUAAUAACAAGGUUGUGGCAGUGGCCGAGACCACGGUCACGGUGGACAAGAGCAAGGGUACAGAAAUAUCUGCUUCUAACGACGACAACAACGAAAGUAUUGCCA